AUUGAACGCUGGCGGCAUGCCUUACACAUGCAAGUCGAACGGUAACAGGUUAAGCUGACGAGUGGCGAACGGGUGAGUAAUACUAUCGGAACGUGCCCAGUCGUGGGGGAUAACUGCUCGAAAGAGCAGCUAAUACCGCAUACGACCUGAGGGUGAAAGCGGGGGAUCGCAAGACCUCGCGCGAUUGGAGCGGCCGAUAUCAGAUUAGGUAGUUGGUGGGGUAAAAGCCUACCAAGCCAACGAUCUGUAGCUGGUCUGAGAGGACGACCAGCCACACUGGGACUGAGACACGGCCCAGACUCCUACGGGAGGCAGC
rnacentral:rRNA from 1 species